UACGUAGGGUGCGAGCGUUGUCCGGAAUUACUGGGCGUAAAGAGCUCGUAGGUGGUUUGUCGCGUUGUUCGUGAAAUCUCACGGCUUAACUGUGAGCGUGCGGGCGAUACGGGCAGACUGGAGUACUGCAGGGGAGACUGGAAUUCCUGGUGUAGCGGUGGAAUGCGCAGAUAUCAGGAGGAACACCGGUGGCGAAGGCGGGUCUCUGGGCAGUAACUGACGCUGAGGAGCGAAAGCGUGGGUAGCGAACAGG
rnacentral:rRNA from 1 species